ACCGGAGAAGUCUUUUGUUUCGCCAUCUCUCUUGUCUGUGUCUUCUCCAUCUCUCGUCUCUGUGUCUCUCCCGGUGAAGGCCAUGCAGCUGACUGGAAUCGGGAAUACAAAUUACUCGGUAAAGCCAUUGAUCGGAGGUCCGUUUGUAUCUCUGUUCCAAGUCGAAACCGGAGAAGAUGGUUCUUUCCUCUGUCUCAUUCUUCCCAUCAAAAAAGAAAGUAGCAGAGUAAAUUUUAUAGACGAUGUUAGAGAAACGUUCGAGAACUUAUUGACAAUAAUGAAUUUCAAAACCUCACUGAUGAAGGGAUUGAAGCUAUGCGGAGAGAGGUAAUGUGCAAAAGGGGAUGAGAUUACCGAAGAUAUGAUUGCAAACAGCAAAACAUCAGCGUUUAAUCUUGUUUUCAGGAAAAAUAUCUCCUUAAGAAGCAGAAGAAGUAUGCACCAAAGGUGCUUCUAAUACGCCCUUUUGCUGGAAGUAUCUAUGAAGCCUAUUUAAAGAAAUAUCCAGCCAUGAUGAAGCAUGCUCCCUUUUGUUAACAAUGGCUACUGUCACUGCAUACUCGGAUGUGCUUGUGGUGGAUAUGGUUGGUGGUCUUGUCACUGGUGCAGUGGCUGAAUGUCUAGGAGGCGCUGGUUAUGUUUGCAAUACAUAAAAGGGAGAUUCUCCUUCCUCUGUGGAUAUGGUUAGGAUGUUCAACUUUACUGACAAGGUUAAAAGAGAGGGAUCAAGAUGAUUACGAGAACAGAGAUGUACGUUAUCAAGAUGCUUAGUUUUGUCAAGAAGAAGAAGGUUAGUCUCUUACAUUACUUAUAGAGGUUAGUGAUAACAAGCCCUGAAAAAAAACAAGGAUGACAUUGGUGUUGAAUCAGAACAUGAACAAAGAUGAUCCCUUUUGUUAAACUCCUGCUUCGUUUACAAUUGAGAGAGUCCUAUGUGUAUUAAUUUUGUGGUUUCUCAAUGAGUUCUGAGACGUAACUCAUCAUUUGUUUCCUCUCAUAGGCUUUGUUUCUCACUUUGAUCAUUAAGCAUAGUUUCGAGGGCAUUUA